GGCAUCCUACGGGGGGCAGCAGUGAGGGAUAUUGGUCAAUGGGGGAAACCCUGAACCAGCAACGCCGCGUGAGGGAAGACGGUUUUCGGAUUGUAAACCUCUGUCCUCUGUGAAGAUAAUGACGGUAGCAGAGGAGGAAGCUCCGGCUAACUACGUGCCAGCAGCCGCGGUAAUACGUAGGGGGCGAGCGUUAUCCGGAUUCACUGGGCGUAAAGGGAGCGCAGGCGGCACGGCAAGUCCGGUGUGAAAGCCCGGGGCCCAACCCCGGGACUGCACUGGAAACUGCCGGGCUGGAGUGUCGGAGG
rnacentral:rRNA from 1 species